GACGAACGCUGGCGGCGUGCUUAACACAUGCAAGUCUGGGGGCGGGGCGACCCGUCCCCGGCGAACGGGUGCGGAACACGUGAGCGACCUGCCCUGUGUGUGGGGGAUAGCCGGCCCAACGGCCGGGUAAUACCGCAUACGUCCCGCGCUUGGAGGCGCUGGGAGAAAGCCCGGAAGGGCGCACGAGGAGGGGCUCGCGGCCUAUCAGCUAGUUGGGGGGGUAACGGCCCACCAAGGCGACGACGGGUAGCUGGUCUGAGAGGAUGGCCAGCCACAUUGGGACUGAGAGACGGCCCAGACUCCUACGGGAGGCAGCAGUGGGGAAUCUUGCGCAAUGGGCGAAAGCCUGACGCAGCGACGCCGCGGGGAGGAUGAGGCCCUUCGGGGUGUAAACUCCUGUUGCUCGGGACGAACGGCGGGCAGCGGCCCGCUUGACGGUACCGGGUGAGGAAGCACCGGCUAACUCUGUG
rnacentral:rRNA from 1 species